GAUGAACGCUAGCUACAGGCUUAACACAUGCAAGUCGAGGGGAAACGAUAGAGAAAGCUUGCUUUUUCUAGGCGUCGACCGGCGCACGGGUGAGUAACGCGUAUCCAACCUGCCCACCACUUGGGAAUAACCUUGCGAAAGUAAGACUAAUACCCAAUGAUAUCUCUAGAAGACAUCUGAAGGAGAUUAAAGAUUUAUCGGUGAUGGAUGGGGAUGCGUCUGAUUAGCUUGUUGGCGGGGUAACGGCCCACCAAGGCGACGAUCAGUAGGGGAUCUGAGAGGAAGGUCCCCCACAUUGGAACUGGGACACGGUCCAAACUCCUACGGGAGGGAGCAGUGAGGAAUAUUGGUCAAUGGGCGAGAACCUGAACCAGCCAAGUAGCGUGCAGGAUGACGGCCCUAUGGGUUGUAAACUGCUUUUAUAAGGGAAUAAAGUGAGCCUCGUGAGGCUUUUUGCAUGUACCUUAUGAAUAUGGACCGGCUAAUUCCGUGCCAGCAGCCGCGGUAA
rnacentral:rRNA from 1 species